CAUCGUGUGGGAGUUCGGGUUCUGGGCGAUUCGUGAAGAUGGCUCGACCUCUGUAGUGGAGGCGGGUCGGGUGCACAACAAACAUGUUCGGUCCGAAGGGAAAUCGGGUCGGCGACUGAGAUUGCCAGACACACUGUUGGGUCCUGAGGCAACAGGCCCGCGGGCCUCUCCUGUUGGGGAGGGGUGCCGGCUCUCAACAUCAGGCGCGUCGGUUGGUUCCGGCGGGGCUGGGGGUUGGGGGUUCUGGUUGCUGCCCUGCUUUGGUGGUGGGGUGUGGUGUUUGAUUCGUGGAUAGUGGUUGCGAGCAUCC
rnacentral:misc_RNA from 1 species